AUUGAACGCUGGCGGCAGGCCUAACACAUGCAAGUCGAACGAGUGGCGGACGGGUGAGUAAUGUCUGGGAAACUGCCCGAUGGAGGGGGAUAACUACUGGAAACGGUAGCUAAUACCGCAUACCAUCGGAUGUGCCCAGAUGGGAUUAGCUAGUAGGUGGGGUAAUGGCUCACCUAGGCGACGAUCCCUAGCUGGUCUGAGAGGAUGACCAGCCACACUGGAACUGGGACACGGUCCAGAAUCCUACGGGAGGCAGCAGUGGGGAAUAUGGCACAAUGGGCGCAAGCCUGAGGCAGCCAUGCCGCGUGUAUGAAGAAGGCCGUCGGGUUGUAAAGUACUGUCGGCGGGGAGGCGUUACCCGCAGAAGAAGCACCGGCUAACUCCGUGCCAGCAGCCGCGGUAAUUC
rnacentral:rRNA from 1 species